rnacentral:rRNA from 1 species
UAGGGAAUCUUCCGCAAUGGACGAAAGUCUGACGGAGCAACGCCGCGUGAGUGAUGAAGGUUUUCGGAUCGUAAAGCUCUGUUGCCAGGGAAGAACGUCCGUUAGAGUAACUGCUAACGGAGUGACGGUACCUGAGAAGAAAGCCCCGGCUAACUACGUGCCAGCAGCCGCGGUAAUACGUAGGGGGCGAGCGUUGUCCGGAAUUAUUGGGCGUAAAGCGCGCGCAGGCGGCUGUUUAAGUCUGGUGUUUAAUCCUGGGGCUCAACCCCGGGUCGCACUGGAAACUGGACAGCUUGAGUGCAGAAGAGGAGAGUGGAAUUCCACGUGUAGCGGUGAAAUGCGUAGAGAUGUGGAGGAACACCAGUGGCGAAGGCGACUCUCUGGGCUGUAACUGACGCUGAGGCGCGAAAGCGUGGGGAGCAAACA